UAUGAGUUUGCCUCGGAGCUCAGGCAUGCCAGGCACGCCGGAUCUCCCGCCGCGAUGGCCGCGCACAGGGCGCGCAGGCAGGCAGCGGCACCACAGCCCGCACCACGCGCGCUGCCGGCACUCCGAGCUGUGCUUCGCGCAAGGAUGUGGAAAAACCUGGCCAUGUGUAAAUUCAGAAAGCCUCAGGUCCUCAGUGGGCCUGCAGGAUAGGGCACCUUCCAGAACCAGCAGCGAGCCUGCUGCCGGACUCUUUCUGAUGCAUCCGUUUAGACCGAGUUUACUUCCCUUAAUUUUGCAAUAAAUGAAAGUAAACUUAUCAGCAUAAAAUGAGAAUGAUUUGAAUAAAACAAGUUACAAAAAGGCA